rnacentral:rRNA from 1 species
UACGUAGGGUGCAAGCGUUGUCCGGAAUUAUUGGGCGUAAAGAGCUCGUAGGCGGUCUGUCGCGUCGCUGUGAAAACUCGGGCUCAACUCCGAGCUUGCAGCCGAUACGGGGCAGGCUGGAGUUCGGUAGGGGAGACUGGAAUUCCUGGUGUAGCGGUGAAAUGCGCAGAUAUCAGGAGGAACACCGGUGGCGAAGGCGGGUCUCUGGGCCGAUACUGACGCUGAGGAGCGAAAGCGUGGGGAGCGAACAGG